rnacentral:rRNA from 1 species
UAGGGAAUAUUGCACAAUGGAGGAAACUCUGAUGCAGCGAUGCCGCGUGAGUGAAGAAGGCCUUUGGGUUGUAAAGCUCUUUCGUCGGGGAAGAAAAUGACGGUACCCGAAUAAGAAGGUCCGGCUAACUUCGUGCCAGCAGCCGCGGUAAUACGAAGGGACCUAGCGUAGUUCGGAAUUACUGGGCUUAAAGAGUUCGUAGGUGGUUAAAAAAGUUGGUUGUGAAAUCCCGAAGCUUAACUUCGGAACUGCAAUCAAAACUUUUUAGCUAGAGUGUGAUAGAGGAAAGCAGAAUUUCUAGUGUAGAGGUGAAAUUCGUAGAUAUUAGAAAGAAUACCAAUUGCGAAGGCAGCUUUCUGGAUCAUUACUGACGCUGAGGAACGAAAGCAUGGGUAGCGAAGAGG